ACCUGUCUAAAAAAAAUUGAAAGGUGAUGAUUGGGUUUCCAUGCUGCAUGGGAGAUAUGCUCCUCUAAAACCGCAUUACAAUGUUGGCACUGUGCCCAUCUUUCA
rnacentral:snoRNA from 1 species